rnacentral:rRNA from 1 species
UACAGAGGUCCCAAGCGUUGUUCGGAUUCACUGGGCGUAAAGGGUGCGUAGGCGGUCGGGUAAGUCUGACGUGAAAUCUCCAAGCUCAACUUGGAAAUGGCGUCGGAUACUAUUCGGCUCGAGGAAUGGAGGGGAGACUGGAAUUCUCGGUGUAGCAGUGAAAUGCGUAGAUAUCGAGAGGAACACCAGUGGCGAAGGCGAGUCUCUGGACAUUACCUGACGCUGAGGCACGAAAGCCAGGGGAGCAAACAGG